rnacentral:rRNA from 1 species
GCUGGCGGCAUGCUUUACACAUGCAAGUCGAACGGUAACGCGGGCUUCGGCCUGGCGACGAGUGGCGAACGGGUGAGUACAACAUCGGAACGUAUCCUGAAGUGGGGGAUAGCCCGGCGAAAGCCGGAUUAAUACCGCAUGAUCUCUUAGGAGCAAAGCGGGGGAGCCGUAAGGUCCUCGCGCUAUUGGAGCGGCCGAUGUCGGAUUAUGCUUGUUGGUGGGGUAAAGGCCUACCAAGGCAACGAUCCGUAGCUGGUCUGAGAGGAUGAUCA